CCCCCGUGUCCCAAAGACCCCUCUCUUCGGUCACGAGGCAGCCGAGAGCGCACUUGCAUAGCGGUAGCGGCGUGCCGUGUCGUGUCCUCUCGUCUCGUCUCGUCUCGUCUGCAGUAGCAGUCUCCGCAUCCGCUCCCUCCUCCUCCUCCGUCGAUUUGGAUUCGCAGCGGCGGCGGCGGCCAAUCAAAGCAAUCAUCACCCAGUCGCCCAGCCCAACAGACGCUCCAGUCCCCAGCCCUCCCACCCGCAUCGAUCGAUGCGAGGCACAAUGCCGGCCACCGACUCCUCCUCCUCGUCGUCGCCGGCGGCGGCGCCGCUGUCCUCCAUCGGCCGCUCCAUCCGCUCGCUCCGCCGUGACCAGAACCAGAUCCACUCCUUCCCGCCGCCGCCAGACGCCACAGACGCCUUCCAGCGCCGCGCCGCCCAACUCCUGGCCGACCUCCCGGCAGCCGACGACGUCCUCUCCCUCGCCUGGACGCGCCGCCUCCUCGAAUCCUUCCUCCUCUGCCUCGAGGAGUUCCGCGCCCUGCUCUUCGGCUCCGGGGACUCGCCCGCCGCGCGGCCCCCGCUCGACCGCCUCGUCGCCGACUUCUCCGACCGCGCCGUCAAGGCGCUCGACCUCUGCAACGCCGUCCGCGACGGCCUCGACCUCGUCCGCCAGUGGCGCAAGCACCUCGCCAUCGCCGCAGCCGUCCUCGCCUCGUCCUCUGAUUCCUCCUCGCCGCUCGGGGAGGCCCAGAUCCGCCGCGCCCGCAAGGCGCUCACCGACCUCACCAUCCUCAUGCUCGACGACAGGGACGGCGGGGGCGUCGUCGGCCAGCGCAACCGAUCCUUCGGCCGCGCCAACGAGAAGCCCCCUCGCCACCACCGCCGGAGCAGCAGCGGCGGGAGCUCCGGCUCCGGCUCCGGCUCCCACCUCAGGUCCCUCUCCUGGAGCGUGUCCCGGGCCUGGUCUGCCGCGCGCCAGCUGCAGGCCAUCGGGGGAGGACUCCCCGUGCCCCGCCCGCACGACAACGCUGCCACGGGAGGCCUCGCCUCCGCCGUCUACACCAUGGGCGCCGUCCUCUUCAUCGUCGCCUUCGCGCUCGUCGCCGCAAUCCCGUGCCAGGACCGCGGCCUCCACGCGCAUUUCUCCGUCAUCAGGAACCUCCCCUGCUCGGCCCCCAUCACAACGCUCUACGAGCGCAUCCUCGACGAGUCCAAGAAGAAGGACCGCAAGAACUCGUGCGGCCUGCUCAAGGAGAUCCACCAGAUUGAGCUCUGCUCCAGGCACCUCAUGGAGAUCACUGACGCCGCCGACUUCCCGUUGCGCGAGGACAAGGACGCCGUCUUGCGGGAGGCCGCGCAGGACCUAGUGCACCUGUGCGAAUCCAUCAAGGAAGGGCUCGACCCGCUCGAGCGCCAGGUCAGAGAGAUGUUCCACAGGAUUGUGCGCACCCGCACAGAAAUCCUUGACUGCUUGAGUAAGCCACAUGGCACCGGGUGAUGGGAUACAGGAGAUUGCCAGCCCGUUUGCUUGCUGUGAUGCCCCUUAACCAAACAUUCUUGUGAAAUGCAGCAGCGGUGUUCAGAUGAGGUAGCCUUUUCUCUGCAUAAGUUAGCAACUACUGCAUCAUACAAAUGCGUCUUCAUAGAGGCUUGUCCUUCUGUUUUAUAUAAAUUGGUUUGUUUAUUAUUUUUAUUUCAUUUUCUCAUCUGUGUAGAUUGUGAAUCCAUACUUGGCAGUGCUUCGUAGUAAUGGUCUAAUACUA
rnacentral:misc_RNA from 1 species